UACCUUCGUUUGUUACGGUUGAGAUGUAUGUUUAAAGUCUACCUGAGGCGUUGGACUAAAAUGGAUGGAUGCCUGCAUUAGCUCACUCAUACGUCAUAAAAUGUACUACGCAAUGCCCUGACUCCAUAAUAUGGGGUUUAUCGAAGCGCAUAAAAAAAUAGAGAGUAGAAUGUUUGACGAUGCAACAUAGCUUGCGUUUUCCAGUGUUUCGGUAUAUUAUUUUGUGAAGCUUCUUGUACAUCCGUGAGUUAAGUUAGUUAAGAAAUGAAUAGUGAGCGGUCUAUGGAAAAGUGAUAUGAUAAAUAUACAUCUAUAGUAAGAAAUUAGAAUCGCUGAAUAUGAGUUGUUUGUUUUCAAAACAAAUUCAAUGUAACUUUUGAAGUCUAUCAGAUCAGAGAGCUUGCCCGACAGGAUUACAACAAUAAUAGUUUUGGUCUUAUUAA